ACAACAGGGAUUGCCUCAGUAACGGCGAGUGAAGCGGCAAUAGCUCAAAUUUGAAAUCUGCUCUUUUUGAGUCGAAUUGUAAUUUGUAGAGGAUGCUUCGGCUUACGUCUCGGUCUAAGUUCCUUGGAACAGGACGUCACAGAGGGUGAGAAUCCCGUUUGUGGCCGCGACUUCCGCCAUGUGAAGCUCCUUCGACGAGUCGAGUUGUUUGGGAAUGCAGCUCUAAAUGGGAGGUAUAUUUCUUCUAAAGCUAAAUACCGGCCAGAGACCGAUAGCGCACAAGUAGAGUGAUCGAAAGAUGAAAAGCACUUUGGAAAGAGAGUUAAAAAGUACGUGAAAUUGUUGAAAGGGAAGCGCUUGCGACCAGACUUGCCCGCGGAUGCUCAACCGGUCCUUCGGCCGGUGCACUCUUCCGCGGUCAGGCCAGCAUCAGUUCGAGUAGCCAGAUAAAGGCUUAGGGAAUGUGGCUCUCUUCGGGGAGUGUUAUAGCCCUUUGUGCAAUAUGGCUCACUUGGACUGAGGCCCGCGCUUCGGCUAGGAUGCUGGCGUAAUGGUCGUAAGCGGCCCGUCUUGAAACACGGACCAAGGAGUCUAACAUCUAUGCGAGUGUUUGGGUGUCAAACCCGUGCGCGAAAUGAAAGUGAACGGAGGUGGGAACCUUUGGGUGCACCAUCGACCGAUCCUGAUGUCUUCGGAUGGAUUUGAGUAAGAGCAUAGCUGUUGGGACCCGAAAGAUGGUGAACUAUGCCUGAAUAGGGUGAAGCCAGAGGAAACUCUGGUGGAGGCUCGCAGCGGUUCUGACGUGCAAAUCGAUCGUCAAAUUUGGGUAUAGGGGCGAAAG
rnacentral:rRNA from 1 species